GCGAACGCUGGCGGCAGGCCUAACACCUGCAAGUCGAACGAACUCUUCGGAGUUAGUGGCGGACGGGUGAGUCACACGUGGGAACGUGCCUUUUGGUUCGGAAUAACUCAGGGAAACUUGUGCUAAUACCGAAUGUGCCCUUCGGGGGAAAGAUUUAUCGCCAUUAGAGCGGCCCGCGUCUGAUUAGCUAGUUGGUGAGGUAACGGCUCACCAAGGCGACGAUCAGUAGCUGGUCUGAGAGGAUGACCAGCCACACUGGGACUGAGACACGGCCCAGACUCCUACGGGAGGCAGCAGUGGGGAAUCUUGCGCAAUGGGCGAAAGCCUGACGCAGCCAUGCCGCGUGAAUGAUGAAGGUCUUAGGAUUGUAAAAUUCCUUCACCGGGGACGAUAAUGACGGUACCCGGAGAAGAAGCCCCGGCUAACUUCGUG
rnacentral:rRNA from 1 species